AUGGUGGAUGCUCGCCACCACAUGCUCGGUCGCUUGGCAUCGAUCGUAGCGAAGGAGCUUCUAAACGGACAGAAAGUUGUGGUUGUUAGAUGCGAAGAGAUAUGCAUCUCCGGUGGCCUCGUCAGGCAGAAAAUGAAGUACAUGAGGUUUCUUCGUAAACGGAUGAACACGAAGCCGACCCGGUCCAAUUCCCUCAACCAAGCUCAGUUUUUUUUAACUUAA